CUUGGCGGCAGCUACCAUGCAAGUCGAGCGGAUGAGGGGAGCUUGCUCCUUGAUUCAGCGGCGGACGGGUGAGUAAUGCCUAGGAAUCUGCCUGGUAGUGGGGGACAACGUUUCGAAAGGAACGCUAAUACCGCAUACGUCCUACGGGAGAAAGUGGGGGAUCUUCGGACCUCACGCUAUCAGAUGAGCCUAGGUCGGAUUAGCUAGUUGGUGAGGUAAUGGCUCACCAAGGCGACGAUCCGUAACUGGUCUGAGAGGAUGAUCAGUCACACUGGAACUGAGACACGGUCCAGACUCCUACGGGAGGCAGCAGUGGGGAAUAUUGGACAAUGGGCGAAAGCCUGAUCCAGCCAUGCCGCGUGUGUGAAGAAGGUCUUCGGAUUGUAAAGCACUUUAAGUUGGGAGGAAGGGCAGUAAGUUAAUACCUUGCUGUUUUGACGUUACCGACAGAAUAAGCACCGGCUAACUCUGUGCCAGCAGCCGCGGUAAUACAGAGGGUGCAAGCGUUAAUCGGAAUUACUGGGCGUAAAGCGCGCGUAGGUGGUUCGUUAAGUUGGAUGUGAAAGCCCCGGGCUCAACCUGGGAACUGCAUCCAAAACUGGCGAGCUAGAGUACGGUAGAGGGUGGUGGAAUUUCCUGUGUAGCGGUGAAAUGCGUAGAUAUAGGAAGGAACACCAGUGGCGAAGGCGACCACCUGGACUGAUACUGACACUGAGGUGCGAAAGCGUGGGGAGCAAACAGGAUUAGAUACCCUGGUAGUCCACGCCGUAACGAUGUCAACUAGCCGUUGGAAUCCUUGAGAUUUUAGUGGCGCAGCUAACGCAUUAAGUUGACGCCUGGGAGUACGGCCGCAAGUAAACUCAAUGAAUUGACGGGGCCCGCCAGCGUGAGCAUGUGUGAAUCGAGCACGCGAGAACUUAUCCCAGGGCCUGUGUAC
rnacentral:rRNA from 1 species